GCAUGCUGUAUAUCAUAUUUAGAUCCUAGUGUAGGGUAAACAUAUGUUAAUUAAUUAGAUUAAUCAAUAAUUUUUACUAUAAAAUAGUAAUUUUAAAAAAGUUGUAAAAUUAUCAUUUUACCCCUGCACUAAAAUUUCUGUUCCAGGCGUCACCAUACCUUGGAUCUUUGCCAGAUGGAUGUCCAACUCUUUGGACGUGAAGAGGGGAGGAAGGAGAGU
rnacentral:lncRNA from 1 species